rnacentral:rRNA from 1 species
UACGGGGGGAGCAAGCGUUGUUCGGAUUUACUGGGCGUAAAGGGCGCGUAGGCGGCCACGCACGUCCGUUGUGAAAUCGCCCGGCUCAACUGGGCGGGGUCAGCGGAUACGGUGUGGCUAGAGCAAGCUAGGGGGCAAUGGAAUUCCCGGUGUAGUGGUGGAAUGCGUAGAUAUCGGGAGGAACACCAGUGGCGAAGGCGGUUGCCUGGAGCUUUGCUGACGCUGAUGCGCGAAAGCGUGGGGAGCGAUCCGG